UACGUAGGGGCCUAGUGUUGUCCGGAAUUAUUGGGCGUAAAGAGCUCGUAGGCGGUUUGUCGCGUCGUCUGUGAAAACCCACGGCUCAACUGUGGGCUUGCAGGCGAUACGGGCAGGCUAGAGUUCGGUAGGGGAGACUGGAAUUCCUGGUGUAGCGGUGAAAUGCGCAGAUAUCAGGAGGAACACCGGUGGCGAAGGCGGGUCUCUGGGCCGAUACUGACGCUGAGGAGCGAAAGCGUGGGGAGCGAACAGG
rnacentral:rRNA from 1 species